rnacentral:rRNA from 1 species
AGAGUUUGAUCCUGGCUCAGGACGAACGCUGGCGGCGUGCUUAACACAUGCAAGUGGAGCGACGAACCGGUCUUCGGACCGGGGCAGAGCCCGAACGGGUGAGUAACACGUGGGUUAUCUGCCCCGUUGACAGGGACAACCCGGGGAAACCCGGGCUAAUACCUGAUGUGCCCCUAGGGGGAAAGGAAGCUUCGGCCUCCGCAACGGGAUGAGCCCGCGGCGCAUUAGCUUGUUGGUGGGGUAACGGCCUACCAAGGCGACGAUGCGUAGCUGGUCUGAGAGGACGAUCAGCCACACUGGGACUGAGACACGGCCCAGACUCCUACGGGAGGCAGCAGUGGGGAAUCUUGCGCAAUGCGCGAAAGCGUGACGCAGCAACGCCGCGUGGAGGAAGACGGCCUUCGGGUUGUAAACUCCUUUCAGUUGGGACGAAGCUUCGUCGGUGAAUAGCCGGUUGAAGUGACGGUACCUUUAGAAGAAGCCCCGGCUAACUACGUGCCAGCAGCCGCGGUAAUACGUAGGGGGCAAGCGUUGUCCGGAAUCAUUGGGCGUAAAGCGCGUGUAGGCGGCCUGGUAAGUCCGUUCUGAAAGCCUGGGGCUCAACCUCAGGAGGCGGAUGGAUACUGUCAGGCUCGAGUCCGGAAGAGGCGAGUGGAAUUCCAGGUGUAGCGGUGAAAUGCGCAGAUAUCUGGAGGAACACCAAUGGCGAAGGCAGCUCGCUGGGACGGUACUGACGCUGAGACGCGAAAGCGUGGGGAGCAAACAGGAUUAGAUACCCUAGUAGUCC